AGUGAACGCUGGCGGUAGGCCUAACACAUGCAAGUCGAACGGCAGCACAGUAAGAGCUUGCUCUUACGGGUGGCGAGUGGCGGACGGGUGAGGAAUACAUCGGAAUCUACUUUUUCGUGGGGGAUAACGUAGGGAAACUUACGCUAAUACCGCAUACGACCUACGGGUGAAAGCAGGGGAUCUUCGGACCUUGCGCGAUUGAAUGAGCCGAUGUCGGAUUAGCUAGUUGGCGGCGUAAAGGCCCACCAAGGCGACGAUCCGUAGCUGGUCUGAGAGGAUGAUCAGCCACACUAGAACUGAGACAGGGUCCAGACUCCUACGGGAGGCAGGAGUGUGGAAUAUUGGACAAUGGUCGGAAGCCUGAUCCAGCGAUACCGCGUGAGUGAAGAGGGCCUUCGGGUUGUAAAGCCCUUUGUUUGGGAAAGAAAAGCAGCAGAUUAAUACCCCGCUGUUCUGACGGUACCCAAAGAAUAAGCACCGGCUAACUUCGUG
rnacentral:rRNA from 1 species